CAAGAAGUAGUUUAAUGAGAAUAUCAGCUUUGGGUGUUGAUGGUAGGGGUUUCUCCUUCUUCUUGA
rnacentral:tRNA from 1 species